GCACAUCACCACUUUUUUUUUAAUUUUUUCCUAAAGUGGUGAAGUUUUGUUGCGUUCAUCCUCAUUGUAAAAUUUUUGUAAUGUGCAAUUUAAUGCACCGAACGUGCUGAACGCCAGCCAAAAAAGAGAACCGGAUACGCAGGGCGGCCGGCUAAAUUUUAAAAAGUGAUGCCAAGUUUCAUGUUGUGUAUUGUACAACAUGAGAGACGUGUUGCAAAAAUACAACACUGGGGAUAAUAGUGGGUAGGUAGAACACCUGAUAAAGGUAAAUAAUAAAUGUCAGGGAAAUUGUGGGAAAAUCUUGGAAAAGAGGGAAAGUUUGGUUGAGCGUCCUUGGUGGCCGUAUAUAAAGCACAGAGAGGGCUAAAAGCGCCAUUAUUUCAAAGUGGUGUGGAACAGAAACAGUUCAGUCAAUUUUUAAAUGUUUUUUUUUGUGAAUAGAAAAAGGAAAUACUAAAUUGGCAGUUACAAUUUGUGUGUUUUAUUGUUUUAUUUGUGUGGCGUAUCUAAACAAUUUGAAUAACGCCGCGCAUAAAUCCACAAUUGGACAACGCCAUCCGACUUGGACGAAAAAGAAGCGGGCAUCCCCAACAAUUAUUUUUGUAUCGCCAGGUGCGGCACAGGGGUUCCAGGCAACGAAAAGGUUCUGGAAACGGCCAAAAGACCUGGGAAACUGCCAGUGGAUAACACUUGGAACAGGCAACAUUACCAAUCCGGGAAGCUAACCAGUAGAUCCCACAUAAAAAUC